rnacentral:lncRNA from 1 species
AGGCCAGGUCUUGGGACAAUAGCCCCCAAGCGGUUUACCCACACCUAGGUACAGACGACUUCCUAUACCUGGCUGUUUGAGGUUGAUCCCUAGCUAUGGGCAAGGCAGUUUUUCUCUUGAGAGGUGAGCACAAUGGUGUCUUUAGAAAGUGAUAUGGAAUAUUAGAAGAUGAAUAUUGACCAGACAGGACAUUUUAGAGAUCAUCUAUAUGAUAACCGCAGUGUAUGGGUUAAUCACUGAGAGUUUCUUAGUCCUAGAAUAAUUUUUGUAUUCUAUAAGUUGUGGUUUUGAUUAAGUCAAUAGUUUUUCAAUUAGAUGAAUUUAGGGCAGGAGGUAACCUUAGGACUUCUCUUUGCUAGGCUCAUUGGAGCACGUGAGGAGCAGAUUUGACAGACCAGAUAGUAAUGUUGCCAGAGCCCUGUCCAAUUUUGUAUCAGUGCCUCUGGCCCCGGCUAAUUCAGGGACCAAGAUCAGUCUUAGUUGAUGGCAGGCUUUAUUCUCAAAGAAGAAUGAUAUAUUUUGUUCUCAAGAGAAAUGUCAUCCCCUGGAUAAAGGCAGGUUGUGAAUACAGGGAGAUUAAUGUUUUCAGAAGAGUUUUACUGUUUGAUUAUUGUGAUGCAAUAGCUGAAUGACAUUUAUGGUUUAAAAAGA